AUGAGGCAACUGAGUCAUGGAGCUGGUGAGUGGCACAGCAGGGUCAUGGCCCCCGAAGAACCUGGCUGUGGAACCUUCGCUCCUUAUCACAUUCCUCCUCAUCAGCAUCUUGCCGGAUCCUCCUGCCCCCUCCGGGAUGUCGUGCAGGGGGAACCCCUGGUGAGGACCAGCGUCUGCACGGAGCCGGUCACUCUGCGCCCCUGCUCCUGCUGCUUUGCGCCCGAUGGAUACUACGUCUCCAUUGAUUCAUCCCACACGGGCCCCUGCUGGGCCCUGAGCAGGGGUGGGGAGGCCAGCACAGCCCACCCCCUCAGGGAGCUCACAGUCUGAUGGAGGAGACAGACCAGAGGAAAACUAGCCAGUGCAGAUAUGGCGCCCCCCGUGUGGCGAAGGUUAGGGAGUAAAACAACGCAGCGUGCCUCGGUAGGCCGCACAGAGGACGGUCAGGAGCUCUGGGACGAUGGCCUCUUCAUACAGGGACCUUGGGGCAGGGAGGGCUGCCGAGAUCUCCGCGAACAGGGCUCCAGGCGUAAGCACAGCAUGUGCAAAAGCCCCGUGGUAGGAAUGCGCUCUGUUUGGGGGAGGAGGCCGGCGUGGCCGGGAAGCGUGGCUAGCAGGAGAGGACGGCGGGCGUGUGGGCCCUUUCUUCACGUACUAUUUUUUUUUUUAAUUUUUUUUUUAACGUUUAUUUAUUUUUGAGACAGAGAGAGACACAGCACGAACGGGGGAGGGGCAGAGAGAGAGGGAAACACAGAAUCGGAAGCAGGCUCCAGGCUCUGAGCCAUCAGCCCAGAGCCCGACGCGGGGCUCGACCUCGCGGACCGCGAGAUCGUGACCUGGCUGAAGUCGGACGCCUAACCGACUGCGCCACCCAGGCGCCCCUCUUCACGUACUAUUUAUGUAUUCACCAUUCAUUCCUCAUCCGUUCAUUCACACCGCGUGAGCACCCAGUCUGCCACCUGCCCAGGGGGUGAGUCAGGGAUACCCUCAAGGGAUCCCUAGUCCGGGGUGGGAUUAGACACUGGGGGCAGCUUGGAUGUUUACCCACGGGGUGGGUUCCACGGCCCCGGGAGCCCUGGCUGGGCCCAUCCGUGAACAGCAACUCACACACUUCAGCUGUGUGUGGGCAAGGUCUGGGCGUGGCAGGGCCAGCCUGCGUGGACCUGGCCACGGGCAUUUCCUCAAGGAGUCCCAGGGCCACGGGUUGCUGUCCUAGACCCUGUGUGCCCAGAGGAAGCAGGAGCCAGACUAGCAGGGGCCAGAGGCUGGGUCUAGCGGGGGAGGCUCUCGCCGGCGAGGGGGCAGCCUGGACCCCCGGGAGAGGUUUAGG
rnacentral:lncRNA from 1 species